rnacentral:rRNA from 1 species
AGCGAACGCUGGCGGCAAGCCUAACACAUGCAAGUCGAACGAACCUUUCGGGGUUAGUGGCGGACGGGUGCGUAACACGUGGUAACGUGCCUUUAGGUUCGGAAUAACUCAGGGAAACUUGUGCUAAUACCGAAUAUUCCCUCCGGGGGAAAGAUUAAUCGCCUUUAGAGCGGCCCGCGUCUGAUUAGCUAGUUGGUUGAGGUAAUGGCUCACCAAGGCGACGAUCAGUAGCUGGUCUGAGAGGAUGAUCAGCCACAUUGGGACUGAGACACGGCCCAAACUCCUACGGGAAGCAGCAGUGGGGAAUCUUGCGAAAUGGGCGAAAGCCUGACGCAGCCAUGCCGCGUGAAUGAUGAAGGUAUUAGGAUUGUAAAAUUCUUUCACCGGGGACGAUAAUGACGGUACCCGGAGAAGAAGCCCCGGCUAACUUCGUG